AAGUCUGUUUCACUAUGUGGUGUGUAUCUAGAACCACACAGUGUGCUCAAAAUGCACUAGGUACUUAACAAAUAAUCACUGAAGGGAUGAAUGACAGAAUCAGAUGGAAAUAGCCUACUGGAGAGGAAUAAACAUGGCCAUUCUUGAUAGACAUGUUGACUGAUGGACUGAGAGAUAUAGAUACAUGCCAUGAGAUCUCUUUAUGAGCAGUGGUCUUAUGGAUAUCUGCAUGACCUCUGCUGAAGUAAAAUACUGUGGUUCGUGAGAAGACGUGACCUUUGGAUACAGCUGGUCUAGUCCUGGCUCUGCUGUGUCAGUGAAAGUGGAACAGUUACAUGGCUCUCCCGAAUCUCUGUUUUCACUUGGUUAAAUGAGGGUUACAUGUACUUACUUCCAGUGUUGUUAUGAGAAUUAAAUGAGAUUAAAUGUUAAAAUUUGUGAGCGGUCAAUAUAUGUACUUCUUUUCUCCCCCUCAGUCUCUUAAGAAUAUUCUACACCAGU
rnacentral:lncRNA from 1 species